AGGUAAUAAACCACAUCUGUCUGUGCAGUGAGAAGGGUCACUUUUCAGAUGAUUCACCUAUGAGAUGAAUACUAGAAAAAAGAAAAUCAAUGUUGAAAAGAAUACUGUCAAAAAAAUUAUGAGCAGAAGAUUUAAAUACAUUUCAAUAUACACCCCAGACUUGAAAUGGCCAGUAACUUUUUAAAGCCUGGUUAGUGACAUGGAAAUUGAAGCCGUUGAUUCUGUGUAUGAAGCAGACUUUUUCAUUUAACAUUUUAG